CACACGAGGGAUUGCCUUAGUUACGGCGAGUGAAGCGGCAAAAGCUCAAAUUUGAAAUCUGGCACCUUCGGUGUCCGAGUUGUAAUUUGAAGAAGGUAACUUUGGAGUUGGCUCUUGUCUAUGUUCCUUGGAACAGGACGUCACAGAGGGUGAGAAUCCCGUGCGAUGAGAUGCCCAAUUCUAUGUAAAGUGCUUUCGAAGAGUCGAGUUGUUUGGGAAUGCAGCUCUAAGUGGGUGGUAAAUUCCCAUCUAAAGCUAAAUAUUGGCGAGAGACCGAUAGCGAACAAGUACAGUGAUGGAAAGAUGAAAAGAACUUUGAAAAGAGAGUGAAAAAGUACGUGAAAUUGUUGAAAGGGAAGGGCUUGAGAUCAGACUUGGUAUUUUGCGAUCCUUUCCUUCUUGGUUGGGUUCCUCGCAGCUUACUGGGCCAGCAUCGGUUUGGAUGGUAGGAUAAUGACUAAGGAAUGUGGCUCUACUUCGGUGGAGUGUUAUAGCCUUGGUUGAUACUGCCUGUCUAGACCGAGGACUGCGUCUUUUGACUAGGAUGUUGGCAUAAUGAUCUUAAGCCACCCGUCUAAAACCUGGGACCAAAAAAAAAAAGGAUUAAAAAUUAAAUUUAAAUACA
rnacentral:rRNA from 1 species